rnacentral:rRNA from 1 species
CCUACGGGUGGCAGCAGUGAGGAAUAUUGGUCAAUGGGCGAGAGCCUGAACCAGCCAAGCCGCGUGAGGGAAGACGGCCCUAUGGGUUGUAAACCUCUUUUGUCGGGGAGCAAAACACGCGACGUGUCCCGUUCUGCGUGUAUCCGAAGAAAAAGCAUCGGCUAACUCCGUGCCAGCAGCCGCGGUAAUACGGAGGAUGCGAGCGUUAUCCGGAUUUAUUGGGUUUAAAGGGUGCGUAGGCGGGCGAUUAAGUCAGCGGUAAAAUUGCGGGGCUCAACCCCGUCGAGCCGUUGAAACUGGUAGUCUUGAGUUGGUGAGAAGUAUGCGGAAUGCGUGGUGUAGCGGUGAAAUGCAUAGAUAUCGCGCAGAACUCCGAUUGCGAAGGCAGCGUACCGGCGCUAGACUGACGCUGAGGCACGAAAGCGUGGGGAUCGAACAGGAUUAGAUACCCGAGUAGUC